rnacentral:rRNA from 1 species
UGGGGAAUAUUGCACAAUGGGCGAAAGCCUGAUGCAGCAACGCCGCGUGAAGGAAGAAGGGCUUCGGCUCGUAAACUUCUAUCAAUAGGGAAGAAGAAAGUGACAGUACCUAAAUAAGAAGCCCCGGCUAACUACGUGCCAGCAGCCGCGGUAAUACGUAGGGGGCAAGCGUUAUCCGGAAUUACUGGGUGUAAAGGGUGAGUAGGCGGCAAGUUAAGUAAGAUGUGAAAGCCUGCGGCUUAACCGCAGGAUUGCAUUUUAAACUAAUUAGCUAGAGUACAGGAGAGGUAAGCGGAAUUCCUAGUGUAGCGGUGAAAUGCGUAGAUAUUAGGAAGAACACCGGUGGCGAAGGCGGCUUACUGGACUGAAACUGACGCUGAGGCACGAAAGCGUGGGGAGCGAACAGG